UACAGAGGAGCCAAGCGUUGUCCGGAUUUACUGGGCGUAAAGCGCCCGCAGGCGGCCCGGCGCGUGGGGUGUGAAAGCUGGCGGCUUAACUGCCAGACGCCAUCCCAUACGGCUGGGCUCGAGCCCUGCAGAGGUCCAUGGAAUUGCCGGUGUAGUGGUGAAAUGCGUAGAGAUCGGCAGGAACACCCAGGGGGAAACCAGUGGACUGGGCAGGAGCUGACGCUCAGGUGCGAAAGCGUGGGGAGCGAACCGG
rnacentral:rRNA from 1 species